rnacentral:rRNA from 1 species
GACGAACGCUGGCGGCGUGCUUAACACAUGCAAGUCGAGCGGAAAGGCCCCUUCGGGGGUACUCGAGCGGCGAACGGGUGAGUAACACGUGGGUAAUCUGCCCAGGACACAGGAAUAACCGGUGGAAACGCCGGCUAAUGCCUGAUGAGGUGCCGGCCUUGCGGGGCUCGGUACCAAAGGUAGCUUCGGCCUCCGGUCUUGGAUGAGCCCGCGGCCCAUUAGCUUGUUGGUGGGGUAAUGGCCACCAAGGCGACGAUGGGUAGCUGGUCUGAGAGGACGAUCAGCCACACUGGGACUGAGACACGGCCCAGACUCCUACGGGAGGCAGCAGUGGGGAAUCUUGCGCAAUGGGCGAAAGCCUGACGCAGCAACGCCGCGUGCGGGAAGAAGGUCUUCGGGUUGUAAACCGCUUUCAGUGGGGACGAAGGCGACCGGGUUAAUAGCCCGUGUCGUUGACGGUACCUACAGAAGAAGGUCCGGCUAACUACGUGCCAGCAGCCGCAGUAAAAC